ensembl:lncRNA
GCCUCUGAUUAGAAUCUGGGAAUUGUAAAUUGUGGCUAAUUAGGCUGUCAUGGGUUCAUUAAGGGCUUCAGUGCCUCCCCUUUUCCUCACCUGCAUGUAUGUUAAAACUCAUUAGCCUCCUUGUCUGAGAUUCCACUUGCAUUAAUUGCCGCUGAUGCCCCAGCUCUCGUGUCCCAUGAUACUCUUCUCUGCAGAGUUAGAAGCACAAAACUUAUCUGAGUGUAUAUCCUUGUUAUAUUCCACUUAGAGUUUCCAGUCAGAGUUUGGCUGGUUAGCAGCUGUGGAAAUUAUUCACAUGGCAUUAACGGCGUAGGUGGUUGUCUCAAAACAACCUGCCAGCAAAACUGAACACCCAUGAGCAAAGAUGGUGGAUUUCAAUUGGGUGAUACUGCGCCAGCCAAGCAACUGCCACUGAGAUGAAAUGUGAAUGCUAACUGAUAGCUUUCAUCAGCAUCAGUGUGGUUUGACAAGGAUGAAAUGCUUGUCUGUCCUGUCAGGAUUUGAGCUAAACUUAAUGAUCCAAGGCAAACAUCUAAUCCACUGUGCUGCGGAGUGGUACAUGUGACAAAUGCACCCGGUGGAGAAGACGAGCAGUGCCACAACUCAUGCCACACGUCUGAUCCCUGCCCAUGUCUCUCCAACACUAAUGGCAUUACACUGCCUCCUCCUUUAGUGGCGUUCAUCCUUUGCCAUUUAUCUUUGCAUGAUGCACGAUGUACGUUAGUUGGCCUAUUAAUACUAAAUGCCAGCUUGUCACGCACAUCAGGGAGAAAAGUUGACUCUCAAACUUUAAAUAAGAAGUAUUUUUCUUCUUUUCUUUAUAUAUAUAGGAAGGAAGAGGAAGACAUUUUUGAACUACUGGGAAAAAAAUAAUACUCGGAGUACCCAGAACGUUAUCAGAUAUCAGGAGGCUGGUACUACUGCUUCUCAAAAGUAUCCAGGUUGUUUUUAUCCAAUCGCCUGAGCCAUAAAUUUGACAAAAUAUGACAUUAUAGCAAUGCGAAUUGGCUCAUGGCACCCCAAGAAUGUUUCAAGACCUUUUUAAAAGUUAAAAAAAAAAUGAUUCUUUGCUAAAUAUUUGCUCUAUACUUAUUGCAUCAUAUUACAAUUUGUGUGUGUGUAUAUAAUUAUAUAAAAAAAGUCUCUAAAGAAAAAUGUCAUGUAUUGCUGAUUGUCAGACACAUUUGAUGAAUGAAAACAGAGCUCUGUUGCACUUGUAGUUUCAAGUGUUUUAUUAUUUUUCUUUCGCUUCCUUUCCCUUUCUGUCUGGUUAACCCUACAAUAUGUGUUCAGAUGUGAUUUAAUAAGUGGAGAGGUCCCACGGGCGGCCUCGCAUUGAGUUUUCCUGUGGGUCCUUUCUGUGUGUAUGACUCUGCAGUGGCAGGGGGGCUCCCUGGCCCAGAUUAAUUACCCCCCUCUAAUUGGUUUAGUGUCUCACAGCUGGGCCAUGCAGACAGCACACUGAAACAUCCAGUUAAAUGAUGCCCAUCCGUCAUCGCUGGCUAUUAGAGCUGGGAACUGGGACCCAAGUGGUCUGUUUUCCAUAUAUUAGUAAACAUUGCAGCUGAGACUUUUCUGUAAGAAUUAAUAAGACAAUGCCA